rnacentral:rRNA from 2 species
AAUCCAUAGGUUAAUGAGGCGAACCGGGGGAACUGAAACAUCUAAGUACCCCGAGGAAAAGAAAUCAACCGAGAUUCCCCCAGUAGCGGCGAGCGAACGGGGAGGAGCCCAGAGCCUGAAUCAGCAUGUGUGUUAGUGGAAGCGUCUGGAAAGGCGCGCGAUACAGGGUGACAGCCCCGUACACAAAAGCGCAUGUGCUGUGAGCUCGAUGAGUAGGGCGGGACACGUGGUAUCCUGUCUGAAUAUGGGGGGACCAUCCUCCAAGGCUAAAUACUCCUGACUGACCGAUAGUGAACCAGUACCGUGAGGGAAAGGCGAAAAGAACCCCGGCGAGGGGAGUGAAAAAGAACCUGAAACCGUGUACGUACAAGCAGUGGGAGCACCCUUUGGGUGUGACUGCGUACCUUUUGUAUAAUGGGUCAGCGACUUAUAUUCUGUAGCAAGGUUAACCGAAUAGGGGAGCCGGAGGGAAACCGAGUCUUAACCGGGCGUUAAGUUGCAGGGUAUAGACCCGAAACCCGGUGAUCUAGCCAUGGGCAGGUUGAAGGUUGGGUAACACUAACUGGAGGACCGAACCGACUAAUGUUGAAAAAUUAGCGGAUGACCUGUGGCUGGGGGUGAAAGGCCAAUCAAACCGGGAGAUAGCUGGUUCUCCCCGAAAGCUAUUUAGGUAGCGCCUCGUGAAUUCAUCUCCGGGGGUAGAGCACUGUUUCGGCUAGGGGGCCAUCCCGGCUUACCAACCCGAUGCAAACUGCGAAUACCGGAGAAUGUUAUCACGGGAGACACACGGCGGGUGCUAACGUCCGUCGUGAAGAGGGAAACAACCCAGACCGCCAGCUAAGGUCCCAAAGUCAUGGUUAAGUGGGAAACGAUGUGGGAAGGCCCAGACAGCCAGGAUGUUGGCUUAGAAGCAGCCAUCAUUUAAAGAAAGCGUAAUAGCUCACUGGUCGAGUCGGCCUGCGCGGAAGAUGUAACGGGGCUAAACCAUGCACCGAAGCUGCGGCAGCGACACUGUGUGUUGUUGGGUAGGGGAGCGUUCUGUAAGCCUGUGAAGGUGUGUCGUGAGGCA